GUCAGAUCUUGAUGGUGUUAACAGUUACGACCAGGCAACCUUUGGACCAGAAAUGUAUCUGGGGACUUGAUUAUCAACGACCUCCCGGUGAAAAAGAUACCAUAUGAGUCAUGAACGAUUACUUAGAAGAUGACUCUGGAGCACGGCCAUGCAAAGCGUGGAUGUGGAACUGAUUCACAGCACAACAUUUUGAAGAGACUGAUUUCAAGGAGACAAGUUUAGUUUGCGAGGGAACUACAAUUACUCCAGAUCAGGAACUGAUUCACAGCACAACAUUUUGAAGAGACUGAUUUCAAGGAGACAAGUUUAGUUUGCGAGGGAACUACAAUUACUCCAGAUCAGGAACUGAUUCACAGCACAACAUUUUGAAGAGACUGAUUUCAAGGAGACAAGUUUAGUUUGCGAGGGAACUACAAUUACUCCAGAUCAGGAACUGAUUCACAGCACAACAUUUUGAAGAGACUGAUUUCAAGGAGACAA